AGCGAACGCUGGCGGCAGGCUUAACACAUGCAAGUCGAACGAACCCUUCGGGGGUUAGUGGCGGACGGGUGAGUAACACGUGGGAACGUGCCUUUUGGUUCGGAACAACACAGGGAAACUUGUGCUAAUACCGGAUGUGCCCUUCGGGGGAAGAUUUAUCGCCAUUAGAGCGGCCCGCGUCUGAUUAGCUUGUUGGUGAGGUAAAGGCUCACCAAGGCUACGAUCAGUAGCUGGUCUGAGAGGAUGAUCAGCCACACUGGGACUGAGACACGGCCCAGACUCCUACGGGAGGCAGGCAGUGGGGAAUCUUGCGCAAUGGGGGGAAACCCCUGACGGCAGCCAUGCCGCGUGAAUGAUGAAGGUCUUAGGAUUGUAAAUUCUUUCAGCGGGACGAUAAUGAUGGUACCCG
rnacentral:rRNA from 1 species